rnacentral:rRNA from 1 species
AUUGAACGCUGGCGGCAGGCCUAACACAUGCAAGUCGAACGGUAACAGAAAGCAGCUUGCUGCUUUGCUGACGAGUGGCGGACGGGUGAGUAAUGUCUGGGAAACUGCCGGAUGGAGGGGGAUAACUACUGGAAACGGUAGCUAAUACCGCAUAACGUCGCAAGACCAAAGAGGGGGACCUUCGGGCCUCUUGCCAUCGGAUGUGCCCAGAUGGGAUUAGCUAGUAGGUGGGGUAACGGCUCACCUAGGCGACGAUCCCUAGCUGGUCUGAGAGGAUGGCCAGCCACACUGGAACUGAGACACGGUCCAGACUCCUACGGGAGGCAGCAGUGGGGAAUAUUGCACAAUGGGCGCAAGCCUGAUGCAGCCAUGCCGCGUGUAUGAAGAAGGCCUUCGGGUUGUAAAGUACUUUCAGCGAGGAGGAAGGUGUUGUGGUUAAUAACCACAGCAAUUGACGUUACUCGCAGAAGAAGCACCGGCUAACUCCGUGCCAGCAGCCGCAGUAA